rnacentral:rRNA from 1 species
AUUGAACGCUGGCGGCAGGCCUAACACAUGCAAGUCGAGCGGAGCGGCGGACGGGUGAGUAAUGCCUAGGAAGUUGCCUGGUAGUGGGGGAUAACGUCCGGAAACGGGCGCUAAUACCGCAUACUAUCAGAUGAGCCUAGGGCGGAUUAGCUAGUUGGUGGGGUAAAGGCCUACCAAGGCGACGAUCCGUAACUGGUCUGAGAGGAUGAUCAGUCACACUGGGACUGAGACACGGCCCAGACUCCUACGGGAGGCAGCAGUGGGGAAUAUUGGGCAAUGGACGAAAGCCUGAUCCAGCAAUGCCGGGUGUGUGAAGAAGGUUUUCGGAUCGUAAAACUCUUUUAGUAGGGAAGCGGUAUCUAACGAGAAAGCCACGGCUAACUACGUGCCAGCAGCCGCGGUAAUAC